rnacentral:rRNA from 1 species
AUUGAACGCUGGCGGCAGGCUUAACACAUGCAAGUCGAGCGGAUGAGAGGAGCUUGCUUCUCGAUUCAGCGGCGGACGGGUGAGUAAUGCCUAGGAAUCUGCCUGGUAGUGGGGGACAACGUUUCGCAAGGAACGCUAAUACCGCAUACGUCCUACGGGAGAAAGCAGGGGACCUUCGGGCCUUGCGCUAUCAGAUGAGCCUAGGUCGGAUUAGCUAGUUGGUGAGGUAAUGGCUCACCAAGGCGCCGAACCGUAACUGGUCUGAGAGGAUGGUCAGUCACAAUGGAACUGAGACACGGUCCAGACUCCUACGGGAGGCAGCAGUGGGGAAUAUUGGACAAUGGGCGAAAGCCUGAUCUAGCCAUGCCGCGUGUGUGGAGAAGGUCUUCGGAUUGUAAAGCACUUUAAGUUGGGAGGGAGGGCUGUAGAUUAAUACUCUGCAAUUUUGACGUUACCGACAGAAUAAGCACCGGCUAACUCUGUGCCAGCAGCCGCAGUAACAC